GUUUCAAUAUUUUAUAUCUUUUAUUAGAUGUUCAUGUGGUUUGGUUAUUUGCCUUUUGGUUGAAAGUACACUGAGACAGGACUUUUCGUUAGUGAUCUUAAUAAUUUCUUUUUUCAUAUUAAUGUAAUUUUUUCAUCUAAUUGAAUACAAUCUAUUUGUGUAUGAUUGUCAGUCCAAAGAGGGAGAGAGGAAAGAGGGGAACAUGAGGAGAAAGUACAAGGUCAGGAAGAACCAGGGUAAAUGCAGCAUGCGCUUGAGAUUCGAUGUCUGACAAAAGCAGCGAAUAGGAAUGUCCAUGAAACAGUUCCACACAGCAUCAUGUGAAGAUGUCCAGACUGUAACUGGGCUGCAGAUGCCACUGCUGAGGCUGCUACACUACUGCUGUGUGCCCUUGAAAAGGAAAUUAACUCCCACCAGCUCCAGGACUAUUUGCUUUACAGUUUUGCUGAAUGACGGAAGGUUUCAUGAUGGCAUCAAUUCCAACCAGAAGACUGGAAUUUGGGGUUGUCAACAUUAGAGUGAGGAGGGUGGAUUAUCCAGGCUAAGCUCCUUCACUACAGGCUUGUCAAUCACACACUCUUAGCCAGGCAGCAGGUUUCUUUUCAAUGCAGAAAAGUGGAUUUAUACGAAGGCACCAGGAGUACAAAAGAUCAAGUAC
ensembl:lncRNA